UCCUACGGGAGGCAGCAGUGGGGAAUAUUGCACAAUGGGCGCAAGCCUGAUGCAGCCAUGCCGCGUGUGUGAAGAAGGCCUUUUGGUUGUAAAGCACUUUAAGUGGGGAGGAGGCUUACCUGGUUAAUACCUGGGCUAAGUGGACGUUACCCACAGAAUAAGCACCGGCUAACUCUGUGCCAGCAGCCGCGGUA
rnacentral:rRNA from 1 species